AGCUGGAAUCGCUAGUAAUCGCAGGUCAGCAUACUGCGGUGAAUACGUUCCCGGGUCUUGUACACACCGCCCGUCACACCAUGGGAGCCGGAAAUGCCCGAAGCCAGUGACCCAACCUUAGGGAGGGAACUGUCGAAGGUGGAGCCGGUAACUGGGGUGAAGUCGUAACAAGGUACC
rnacentral:rRNA from 1 species